rnacentral:lncRNA from 1 species
GGGGGUGGUAGAAAUGCCACACUCUCUUUGGUUUAGGUUUUUGACUUUAUUUUCUUUUAUUUUUUAAAAGUCUAUGACAGUUGCGUUGUUUUUCUCCGCCCGCCUGCCCCCCACCCCCGAGCAACCCCAUCCCAGGAUCCUGUCUUUCUGGGAAGUCUUUUUAAUACGAGUCCCUAACCAUCCUACACUCUUCACUUUCCUUUCCACCCCAUUCAUUCUCUGAACUUAUCACAGUGUUUUGCACUUGAUUAUGUAUCCUUCACUUUCUUCUUUAUCCCAUCAUCCCCUCAGUAGGUCUGGUGAGGGAGGUUGGGGGGAGGUGGGAGGAGGGGCAGAAGUGGAAGCAUAGGAAGGAUGUUACCUCUUCUCUUACUUUAAAAAAAAAAGUUGUUUGGUGGCAGCAAUCUCCCUGUCCCUAUCACUGUUAGAGGCCGGUUUCCUGGAGGCUCAGGAAUGGAAGGAUUCUGCCCUUCCAUGCUUUCCCACCAUGGUUUCAGGGUUGAGGAAAACUCCUUUCAGCUUUUUGCCCCAGAUAUCCUACCUCUCCUUAAAUCUUGUAAGGGUUCUUAGGAUGGCUCUUCU